AUUGAACGCUGGCGGCAGGCCUAACACAUGCAAGUCGAGCGGAUGAGUGGAGCUUGCUCCAUGAUUCAGCGGCGGACGGGUGAGUAAUGCCUAGGAAUCUGCCUGGUAGUGGGGGACAACGUUUCGAAAGGAACGCUAAUACCGCAUACGUCCUACGGGAGAAAGUGGGGGAUCUUCGGACCUCACGCUAUCAGAUGAGCCUAGGUCGGAUUAGCUAGUUGGUGAGGUAAAGGCUCACCAAGGCGACGAUCCGUAACUUGUCUGAGAGGAUGAUCAGUCACACUGGAACUGAGACACGGUCCAGACUCCUACGGGAGGCAGCAGUGGGGAAUAUUGGACAAUGGGCGAAAGCCUGAUCCAGCCAUGCCGCGUGUGUGAAGAAGGUCUUCGGAUUGUAAAGCACUUUAAGUUGGGAGGAAGGGCAGUAAGUUAAUACCUUGCUGUUUUGACGUUACCAACAGAAUAAGCACCGGCUAACUUCGUGCCAGCAGCCGCUGUAAGAC
rnacentral:rRNA from 1 species